rnacentral:lncRNA from 1 species
AGGAUCAAACGAUAGCCAUUCGAAACUUGGAGAUGCAAGUGGGUCAAAUGGCCAAGAUGAUCUUCAGAAGACCACAAGGAUCCUUACCUAGCAAUAAGGAGACCAAUCUAAGAGAGCAAAUCAAUGCUAUCAUGCUAAAAAGUGGUAAAGAGCUAGAAGAGCCACAUAAAAAAGAAGAGACUGAAGAGGAAAUAACAAACAAAGAGCUAACUAACAGCACAAAUUAGCCAGCUAAAGUUCAUCAGUUACCUAAAUAGCCAGC